AUGAAAACAAGAAACUCAAGCCCAACAGCUGCGCUGGCCGCCUGCAGCCUGACUGAAACCAGAGCCCAUCAUCUCCACUCUACUAGGGAUCAGCUGUGCGAGUGCCACAUUUUUGCAGCUGUCCCCAGAUGUUUACACUCACGAUGGAUGACUGACAGUGAAAGCUUGUCAUCGCGGCUGUGACACAGUCAACGUGAAAGGAAACGAAAGACAACAAUGGCAAC